ACUCCAGUAACUCAGUCAGGUUAGAGUGCACAACUUAUAAUUGUGAGGUCGCUUUGGUUCAAAUCCAGCCUGGAGUA
rnacentral:tRNA from 1 species